rnacentral:lncRNA from 1 species
UAAUUUUUGUAACGUAAAAGCAAAAUAAAUUCAUACAUACAGUAACACAGAUAACCAGAGUAUGUAAUUUAAUUUACAAUGACGUGUGGGCCCUUCGAAUGACCAAAGGUAACAAAGGUUGCGGACCUACAAUUUCUGAGGAGGCGAGUCCAAUAAUAACCCUCAACUUAGUCAGCUAUAUUACGGACUGUCCUGAUCCUAGAAUGAGUGGAAAAAAGGAUGAUGAGUUUAUAUAAACUCAGUGAGUCAACAAACAUCAUUUAAAAUAUCUAAAGUCGAGUAAAUGGAGACAACUUAAAAUAGUUCAUUGUACUAUGAUUCAUAACGUUUCAAACUCAUUUCAACUAAAUAAAAUAAUUUCAUUUCACUCAAAUAAUCAACAUGGCUUAUGAAUUUCUUAAAAAUUUGGCUCGUGCCAAAACUUAUUCUCGGGGAUACCUUGGCCUUGACAUCCAAUCGAGUCUGCCAAGGCUGUUAAAGAAAAGUUCAUAUACGCAUAAAACACAUUUUUACGUUUAAAAUCAUAGUCAUUCCUUAGUGUUGGCUGAGUUCACCCUCACGUGGUGGUUUAGCGUGUUGUGAACUCUAAAGCUCUACCUUAGGAGAUACGCUCCGCGCCUCCGUACUGAGGUAAAAUAUAACCGGGUUUACCGUGCCCCUCUCUAAUAGGCUGGUCCACAGAAACCCGCCACUGUAGUGACUAAUCAAUAUCCCACCAACUCAAUAAAAGUGUCGACAGCAUGACAUGGCAAUUAUAUUACUGCCCAGCUUGUUAUGGCAAAACAAACAGUUCAUACAAUUUCAACACAAUUUCCAAUUCAGCCAUUCAUGCCAAUAUCACCAUAAGCCAUUCAAUUCAAACCAUAAUUUUACAACACCAACAAAUAGUCUCCAAUUACUCAAUUUCUAAAAUCAUUAUUCAAUUUCAAAAUGAUUUAUAAAACUCAUUUCAUUUAAUCACAUUUUACUUAUAAAACAUAAGGAUUUACCAUUUAAACUCAUUUUUCUAUAAAAUCACAAAAACGAAUAAAAACUACUUUAGAUAAUUAAGACGAUAAUAAGGUUACUCACAAUAUCGAGAAUUGAGGUACUCCUAAUCCCUGUCUUCGGGUACAAUCUCCUUACCCUUAUUGAAAGUUUCACCACCUAGACAUAAUGCACAACAAGCAAUUUACUAUAUUUUAUGCUAAACCGUUAUAAAACUAAUUUAGGCUCCAUAUGAAUGCAUGAAAUGGGACGUGAAAUGUUCGGAUUAUUAUCUAAAUACGGUGUUCUACAUAUGUUCAAUUGUGUAUGGGGCUGAAAUGGUAUUGACCUAAUUCACACUAUACGCUAGUUAAUUGGCCAAAAUAUCCAAUUCAACUCCAAAUAAAUUCAUUUCACUUCCAAUACUCCAAAUCAUCAAAUAUAAGCUAGAUAACAUGAAUUAUAGCAAAAUCAUCCUCAACAUUUUCUCUUGAAAAAAUUCGGCCAUGGAUGGUUCAUGCAUAAUAUGUGGUUUUUCAUGCUUGAUUUUUGCACUUUACAUCAUAAAACAACUAAAAAUACCUAAAUAGCAUGAAAUUCAUCGAAGUCUAUUUUCCAAUUUCUCUCUUGAAAAAUUCAGCCAAUGGGUGUGGGUGAAGGGCAUGAAAUUUCUUGCUUGUUUUCCAUGCUAAACAUCACCAAACAACUAAAAACACUAGAAUAACAUGAAAUCUAGCUAAAUCCAAGAUCAAAACCCCUCCCCCCAUGUCCGGCCAGCAAAGGUAUCUUCAUGAAAACUUGAUUCUCAACCAUGGAAAAUGAAAAAGAAUGCAUAGGAAAGGUAGAUCACAAGCUAAAAUCAAGAAAUUUUACCUUUACUUGCUUAAUUCCUUGAAAUUCACCAAUUUUCCCUUGAAUUUUUGCUCACUAGAGUUUCUUCUCUUCUUUUUUCUCUUU